GCCCCGAUGGCGGAAUUGGUAGACGCGCUAGACUCAAAAUCUGGUGAGCUUUACGCUCAUGAGGGUUCGAUUCCCUCUUGGGGCA
rnacentral:tRNA from 1 species